GACGGGGGGGGCAAGUGUUCUUCGGAAUGACUGGGCGUAAAGGGCGCGUAGGCGGUGAAUCGGGUUGAAAGUGAAAGUCGCCAAAAAGUGGCGGAAUGCUCUCGAAACCAAUUCACUUGAGUGAGACAGAGGAGAGUGGAAUUUCGUGUGUAGGGGUGAAAUCCGUAGAUCUACGAAGGAACGCCAAAAGCGAAGGCAGCUCUCUGGGUCCCUACCGACGCUGGGGUGCGAGAGCAUGGGGAGCGAACAGG
rnacentral:rRNA from 1 species